CCUACGGGGGGCAGCAGUGGGGAAUAUUGGACAAUGGGGGCAACCCUGAUCCAGCCAUGCCGCGUGUGUGAAGAAGGCCCUCGGGUUGUAAAGCACUUUCAGUGAGGAAGAACGCCUGGUGGUUAAUACCCAUCAGGAAAGACAUCACUCACAGAAGAAGCACCGGCUAACUCCGUGCCAGCAGCCGCGGUAAUACGGAGGGUGCGAGCGUUAAUCGGAAUUACUGGGCGUAAAGCGCGCGUAGGUGGCUUGAUAAGCCGGUUGUGAAAGCCCCGGGCUCAACCUGGGAACGGCAUCCGGAACUGUCAAGCUAGAGUGCAGGAGAGGAAGGUAGAAUUCCCGGUGUAGCGGUGAAAUGCGUAGAGAUCGGGAGGAAUACCAGUGGCGAAGGCGGUCUUCUGGACUGACACUGACACUGAGGUGCGAAAGCGUGGGUAGCAAACAGGAUUAGAUACCCCAGUAGGC
rnacentral:rRNA from 1 species